GUGCUCACUUCAGCAGCACAUAUGCUAAAACUGAAACAAUACAAGGAAGAUUGUUAUGGCCCCUGUGCAAGACUGAAAUGUAAAUUUAAAAAACAUGUAUCUGUUGU
rnacentral:snRNA from 1 species